AUGUGUUAUGGGAAGGAGGUAACAGAUCACUUUGGUAAAGGUUUAUUUUAUCAUGUAGUUUCUUCGUUAAAGUCUAAUGCAUUUGUUUAACAGAAAUAUAAAUAUUGAUGCUGAACACUCUUUGCUGGUUUAAUACCACAAACAUUAGGAUAUACUUUUAUUAUCCUUCACAUAAUGUCUUAAUGAAGACGUGUUUACAUCAUCUGCAUUUGUCAAUCAUGGAUUUCUAAACCAAAUGUCCACAACAAAUAAAGAGCAAGCCGUGGACCAUCUCAUGGUUUAAUCCAGUCUCCAUUACCAACCAGCUCAUAUCAGCACCUUCAUUUUAAAGGGUCAUGAGUUAAAUUCAGCCUGGAGCAAAAGGAUUAUCCUCAUUAGAUGGAUUAUGGCCAUUAAGAAGAAAUGUUGCACAUGCUCGUGCUGAAUUGACCGAUACUGUUGAAUCUACGCCUGUAUGGAGACUGCAUCUUCAAAAUUAAACAUAUCUAAGUGGGUCACAUAAAGAAAAGUUUGGAAAGCUCUGGACUAAAACAUGACUGAUAUCGCUCCUGCAGGUUUCUGCACAUCAGCGUCUCCUGCAUGGAAACUCACACGAAGAGUCCAAUAUCUGCUGUACAAAUUAGAAAUCACCAAAACUACAUCCCUGAUCCAGUCUUAAGGCCAAGACGAAUUCAGACAUGAAUGGAAAAUAUUUUAGCCAAAGGAUUAUGACGUGUCGGUGGAAAAACAAUGGCAUGUCAAGCAGGAGAACAGAGCUUCUGGCCAGCUGUCAGCUUAAAUAAUGUGAGGUCAUCCAAGAAUAAAACAAGAUCAUGCCUACAACAAUCCCAGUGUAUAUACUUGAGAGCACUUUAUCUUCACAAAUUCUUGAUAUAUCCAACAUCCCAGCAAAUUCUUGAUGGCUUUUCAGAUGCAUCAAACUAAAUUGAAGCUCAAAUAAGAAAAAAACAUCAUGGUGCUUCAGUUCUGAUAGGACAACAAAUGAUACAGACAAGUUAGCAGUUAUAUGUUAUUAUGCUUUUUGAUGUCUGUCUUUAAACUUUAGCUAACGUUUGUGCUGCGCUUAAUCUGCUGUUUUUCUCAAACCUUCAACAGUUUUGCCCUCAGGACAUUUGUGCUUUCCUAAAAACAGCACGGGAGGGCUGGGAAACACAAAUGUUUAAACACAAAACAGAGUGAAAGUAAAGAUUAGUGCAGGUCACACAGCAUCACAACAGACACAACAAACAGUUUACAUGAAAAUUACUCUGUGUGAAAUAAAACCUCAGUUCUUCAUGUGGGCUCAUCAGGGUUCGCUGUCAAUAUGAUAUACAUUCAUUAUCACUGCUAUAAGAUCAUAGUACUAUAAAAUAUUACCUACGUGAUCUCAUGAGAAUACAUGUUGUAUUUGUGGUUGUAGUACCACAUGUACAUUUAUUUACAUUUUCCAGAUUUGUACGUUUUUUAUAAAUAUUAAAAUCGCAGGCAUUGGCGUUUCUAAUUCAUAUUAAUGACAUGUUUUCAGUCGUAUUUUCUGACUUAUUUAUUUAAGACAGUUCAUAACUUUCACAGAAUUACAAACAAGACUACACUUUAAAACUUUAAAAUGAAUACCAUCUCUGUAAUCAUUUAACCCUUUUGUAAUAUUUAGUUUGUUUGUGUGACACAUAGGGCUGUCACAAUGAGUAAAUAAUCGCCUCACCGCAAUAGUUUGAACUCAUCGCAGUGAUUUCAGAUCACCGCAAUGAUUGCAUAGCUCUUUAAAAAACACAAGGGGGAGCUGCAGCGCCUGCAUAAACGAGACCAAAUCAGAUGGCGCUCCUUAACUGACCAUUUAAUGCGAUAGCUUAAGCCAUUCAAUACAGUGGAAAAAACAGCAUUUAAAGAAAUGCUGCAAAACUUUGAUAAGCAGUAUGAUCUGCCAGGUAAAACAUACGUUUACAAAACAGCAAUUCCAAAUUUAGGGAAGCCACUACAGACAUUUGGUCCAGUACUAAUAUGACCUUAGUAGAAUUGGCCUCUUUUUGGGGCCUAUUUUGAUUGCAUUUUUAUUUUCAGUUAUUUUUCAAACACUUUAUUGUGUUUAUUUCUUUUGAAGAAUUUUCAGUUUUUGAAAGAUAUAUUCAUUAAAUAAUUACUUUUAAAUAUGUGUUAUGUUUAUUAAUAUUUACUGCCAGGAAUGCAAAAGAUUUAAUUUAAAUAAUCACAACAAUGUGUGAAAAUUAGUUCAUGAACAAACAAACAAAUGUAUAAGAAUUAAAUGUCAAACAAUAAAACAGACAAUUAAUCGCCAUAACCGUCACAAUUUAACCGUCAGCCAAAUUGUAUAACCGUGACAGCCUUAGUGACACACAAAAGGCGUUUUCUCCUAUGCAACAAUAAUUUCACCAAAACACACAACAUAAAUUCACAAAAGAUUUUACUUUUAUUCAUUUGCUGUAAUCCACAUUUUUAAAAUUCAUACGAACAGAUCCAAAUUCAGCCCUUUAUCCAGCGAUCUUGAACCCAGUUCUCAUAAGUGACCGUAAACGACAAAUCUCGCGUUCGUUAUUAAUUCAAUUUUAAAUAUUGCGCCUCAAGAAGCUUUACGACAGUGAUAUCAAACGCUCAUUGGCUCUUGCAUGUUACGUCACACAUUUGCAACAUUGCCGUCUUUCAGUCGAUGCCCCUAGACAGAAGCUGGAUUAACGUUCUGGUGGAUUAAUAACUUUAAUAUUUGUCUGUACUUCAUAAACUCCAGAG